rnacentral:rRNA from 1 species
CGCGAAAACUUUACAAUGCUGGCAACAGCGAUAAGGGAACCUCGAGUGCCAGGUUACAAAUCUGGCUGUCGAGAUGCCUAAAAAGCAUUUCAUAGCAAGGGCCGGGCAAGACGGGUGCCAGCCGCCGCGGUAACACCGGCGGCUCGAGUGGUAACCGUUAUUAUUGGGUCUAAAGGGUCUGUAGCCGGCCGGAUAAGUCUCUUGAGAAAUCUGGCAGCUUAACUGUCAGGCUUUCAGGAGAUACUGUCUGGCUCGAGGCCGGGAGAGGUGAGAGGUACUUCAGGGGUAGGGGUGAAAUCUUGUAAUCCUUGAAGGACCACCAGUGGCGAAGGCGUCUCACCAGAACGGACCUGACGGCAAGGGACGAAAGCUAGGGGCACGAACCG